rnacentral:rRNA from 1 species
UACGGAGGGGGCAAGCGUUAUUCGGAAUUAUUGGGCGUAAAGGGCGCGUAGGCGGCUAGAUGUGUCAAAGGUGAAAUCCCUCGGCUCAACUGAGGAACUGCCUUUGAAACUGUCUGGCUUGAGGCCGGGAGAGGGUAGCGGAAUUCCCAGUGUAGCGGUGAAAUGCGUAGAUAUUGGGAGGAACACCAGUGGCGAAGGCGGCUACCUGGACCGGUUCUGACGCGGAGGCGCGAAAGCGUGGGUAGCAAACAGG